UACGAAGGGGGCUAGCGUUGCUCGGAAUUACUGGGCGUAAAGGGCGCGUAGGCGGAUAUCUAAGUCGGGGGUGAAAGCCCAGGGCUCAACCCUGGAAUUGCCUUCGAUACUGGAUAUCUUGAGUACGGGAGAGGUGAGUGGAACUCCGAGUGUAGAGGUGAAAUUCGUAGAUAUUCGGAAGAACACCAGUGGCGAAGGCGACUUACUGGACACAUAUUGACGCUGAGGUGCGAAAGCGUGGGGAGCAAACAGG
rnacentral:rRNA from 1 species